rnacentral:lncRNA from 1 species
AGAAGAAAACAAGGAAGAUGCGAAAGAGAAGGAUAAAGAUGAAGAGGAGACGAUGAUGACAAUUGUGAAAGUGACGACGAUGAUAGUCACUAAGGUAACAAAGACAACAAUGGAGAAGAUAAAAAGGAGGAGGAGAUGAAGAAAAAAGUGAAUAACGGUAUAUAUAAUGAGGAGAAGAGAAUGAGUCAAACAUAAUGAUGGUGAUGAUGACAGACGAGAGAAUAGCUACGAUGGAUGUGACAACAACAAUAAUGACGUGGUACAUAAGGAGGAGAAUGAGAGGACGAGGAAGAGGAAAAAGAUGAAGAAGAAAAAAAAAAGAAAAAUACAAGGACCAAAAAAGAAGAAGAUCAAAUUGUUAUAUUUAUCAACGAUCAAAAUUUGAUGGUAAUUAUCCACAUAUAUUUAUCAACAAGUGAUUACCAAUAAUUUUGACUAUCUAUAAUUACCAACGAUAUUUUUUUUUAUAUUUUGGUAAAAUUUGUGGACGAAUAUUUUGUUGAUAGAUUUUUUGUCAUCUGUCAAACAUCGAUGACCAAGAAACAAUCACUAAACUAAGGAUCUCCUAUUACUCUUCACGACAUACCUCACUCUCUCUACUUGAGACUAGAUGAUUAUUAAAAGUGUUAGGAUCAUCUCCCAUUUCAAAGCC